AAAUACUGUGUGGCAGGCUGGUAUUGUUAGAAAUACUGUGUGCCAGGCUGGUAUUGUUAUAUCUAUUGUGUGCCAGGCUGGUAUUUUUAUAAAUACCGUGUGCCAGGCUGGUAUUGUUAUAAAUACUGGGGGCAGGCUGGUAUUGUUUUAUCUAUUGUGUGCCAGGAUGGUAUUGUUAUAUUUAUUGUGUGCCAGGCUGAUGUUGUUAUAAAUACUGUGUGCCAGGCUGGUAUUGUUAUAAAUAUUGUGUGGCAGGCUGGUAUUGUUAUAAAUACUGUGUGCCAGGCUGGUUUUGUUAUAUCUAUUGUGUGCCAGUCUGGUAUUGUUAUAAAUGCUGUGUGCCAGGAUGGUAUUGUUAUAUCUAUUGUGUGCCAGUCUGGUAUUGUUAUAAAUAUUGCGUGGCAGGCUGGUAUUGUUAUAAAUACUGUGUGGCAGGCAGGUAUUGUUAUAUCUAUUGUGUGCCAGUCUGGUAUUGUUAUAAAUGCUGUGUGGCAGGCUUGUAUUGUUAUAUCUAUUGUGUGCCAGGAUGGUGUUGUUAUAAAUACUGUGUGCCAGGCUGUUGUUAUAUCUAUUGUGUGCCAGGAUGGUAUUGUUAUAUCUAUUGUGUGCCAGGAUGGUAUUGUUAUAAAUACCUUUUGCCAGGCUGGUAUUGUUAUAAAUACUGUGUGCCAGGCUGGUAUUGUUAUAUCUAUUGUGUGCCAGGCUGGUAUUGUUAUAAAUACUGUGUGCCAGUCUGGUAUUGUUAUAUCUAUUGUGUGCCAGGCUGGUAUUUUUAUAAAUACUGGGGGCAGGCUGGUAUUGUUGUAUCUAUUGUGUGCCUGGAUGGUAUUGUUAUAUUUAUUGUGUGCCAGGCUGAUGUUGUUAUAAAUACUGUGUGCCAGGCUGGUAUUGUUAUAAAUACUGUGUGCCAGGCUGUGCUGCUUGGUAUUGUAAUAUACCUUCUUAGCCUUACUCUGGGGAAGACAUGGUGGAAUACAGGAGAGUGUCAGAUGGAUGUUUUUGCAAAAUAAAAAUAAAAAACUGUUUAAAUAUAUUCCAGUAAAAUAUCAG